CAACUCUGGUUUCUCUUCAUUACGCACAAGCCUUUCGCCUUUUACUAAAGACUUCCGUGGAGAGGAAUAGUUACACGAGUUCAACAUAUUUUUGCUCGGCCUUUUGGCUCAG